rnacentral:rRNA from 1 species
GAUGAACGCUGGCGGCGUGCCUAAUACAUGCAAGUCGAGCGAACAGAUGAGGAGCUUGCUCCUCUGACGUUAGCGGCGGACGGGUGAGUAACACGUGGAUAACCUACCUAUAAGACUGGGAUAACUUCGGGAAACCGGAGCUAAUACCGGAUAAUAUAUUGAACCGCAUGGUUCAAUAGUGAAAGACGGUUUUGCUGUCACUUAUAGAUGGAUCCGCGCCGCAUUAGCUAGUUGGUAAGGUAACGGCUUACCAAGGCAACGAUGCGUAGCCGACCUGAGAGGGUGAUCGGCCACACUGGAACUGAGACACGGUCCAGACUCCUACGGGAGGCAGCAGUAGGGAAUCUUCCGCAAUGGGCGAAAGCCUGACGGAGCAACGCCGCGGGAGUGAUGAAGGUCUUCGGAUCGUAAAACUCUGUUAUUAGGGAAGAACAAAUGUGUAAGUAACUAUGCACGUAUUGACGGUACCUAAUCAGAAAGCCACGGCUAACUACGUG